CCUACGGGAGGCAGCAGUGGGGGAUAUUGGACAAUGGGGGGAACCCUGAUCCAGCGACGCCGCGUGAGUGAAGAAGUAUUUCGGUAUGUAAAGCUCUGUCAGCAGGGGAGAAAGAAAUGACGGUACCUGACCAAGAAGCCCCGGCUAACUACGUGCCAGCAGCCGCGGUAAUACGUAGGGGGCAAGCGUUAUCCGGAAUUACUGGGUGUACAGGGAGCGUAGACGGUUAAGUAAGUCUGGAGUGAAAGGCCGGGGCCCAACCCCGGGACUGCUCUGGAAACUAUUGAACUUGAGUGCAGGGGAGGUAAGCGGAAUUCGUAGUGUAGCGGUGAAAUGCGUAGAUAUUAGGAGGAACACCAGUGGCGAAGGCGGCUUACUGGACUGUAACUGACGUUGAGGCUCGAAAGCGUGGGGAGCAAACAGGAUUAGAUACCCCAGUAGUC
rnacentral:rRNA from 1 species